CUACGGGAGGCUGCAGUGGGGAAUAUUGGACAAUGGGCGAAAGCCUGAUCCAGCCAUGCCGCGUGUGUGAAGAAGGCCUUCGGGUUGUAAAGCACUUUCAGUGGGGAAGAAAGCCUUGGGGCUAAUACCCUCGAGGAAGGACAUCACCCACAGAAGAAGCACCGGCUAACUCCGUGCCAGCAGCCGCGGUAAUACGGAGGGUGCGAGCGUUUAUCGGAAUUACUGGGCGUAAAGCGCGCGUAGGCGGUCUGAUAAGCCGGUUGUGAAAGCCCCGGGCUCAACCUGGGAACGGCAUCCGGAACUGUCAGGCUAGAGUGCAGGAGAGGAAGGUAGAAUUCCCGGUGUAGCGGUGAAAUGCGUAGAGAUCGGGAGGAAUACCAGUGGCGAAGGCGGCCUUCUGGACUGACACUGACGCUGAGGUGCGAAAGCGUGGGUAGCAAACAGGAUUAGAUACCCCAGUAGUC
rnacentral:rRNA from 1 species